UUCGCCAAAGAUCAGAAGCUUUGUUCGUUGCGCUUGCCCUAAGGCGUUGUCCUCUUGUUGUGCUUGCCCUAAGGCGAAGUUCUGUUCGUUGGUGGUUGGUUUUUUGCAGUUUGCGUGAGUACGGUUGGUGGGUUUUCUGGCAGGGUUGUGGGUCAUACUACUUAGCGUUUCCGGUAGUGGUGGUGGGUCAUCGAGGUUGGCUUGACGGCGGCGUUUGGGUGAAGUGGGGUUGUUGAGUUUGUAGGGGUUGUGGUCUGCAGAGGUUGGCAUCAUCGAUCCUUUUGCUUUCGAGGAUUUUGAUUUUACUGUCUUUCCUGAAGCAGAAUAUGAUGUCCCCAUAUUUUGUGCUUUUUCACCUCUGCUAAAACAAACAUUGUCGUAUUUUUCCAGCUUAAAGACCUAGGUAGCAUUUUUAGGAAGAGGAGCUGAAACAGAAUCUGGGUUGAAUAGGAAACUUCCAGCCAACUGCCAGUGGUAAGUUCAGUACAAAAAUCUGUAAUGAUUGUAAUUAGCAUUUGUUAUGAACUAAAUGUUGUAAUGAUUUGUUAUGAUAUUUUGUUCCCUUCUUUCUUCCCUACUAUAUUCAUGUAUCACACACUCUUUCUGACAUUAUUUCUUUUCUUUUGAUUUACACUCACUCCACCUUCUCUUCCACUUCGAAGAAGAGAAAACCCACAACCCUCACACCCAUCACACUCUUUGUAAGAACUUGAAGUACUCUAUAAAAGAGGACUUCACUACAGUAAUAAUAGACAGCAUGACCCUUGUUGCAUGCCUAUGACAGUAGUCAAUGUGUAAGUACUCUAUAAAGAGGACUUCACUACAAUAAUAAUACUCAGCAUGACCCUUAUUGCAUGCCUACGACAAUAGUAUUCAAUUUGCCUUCCAUGUUCGACUUAAGUAGUAAUAGGUUUAUUACUUAUGUGACAUGGAGUGUUGUUGAUUUCGCUAAGUUUACCUUUGUUUGGCUUGUCACAGAACAUGGUCCAUUUUCUNAACCAUCGUGCAUGGAUGUAUCACCGUUGUCAUAGCGGAAGGAGAGGUUUGAAGGAAUCUUUUGUCAUCGGAGUUGAAGAGUUUGUGGAGACGGAUCGACGAAGUCAAUAUUAUGCUAUUGAUGGAGGGAUUCAAUGCCCAUGCAUCAAGUGCGAAUGUACAAGGAUUUUGAAAGAUCAAGACGUUAAAGUUCACCUAUACCAAAAAGGGUUCAUGCCUAAUUACACGGUUUGGACAUUUCAUGGUGAAGAAAUUCCUGCGACAUCCAAUAGAGUUGAAAAUCGGCUUGCAUCAGGUUCGAAUACUGUUGUACAUACAUCUGAGAUAGAUCANUUUGCCUAUAUGCAAGAGAUGGUCGACAAUGCUCUUCGUCGACAUGACGAACAAGAAGCAAACAAUAGUCAUGAUGAAGAGGCUCCAAAUGAAACCACUCAGAGGUUUUACAAAUUAAUGACAAAGGCAAAU